AUUCUGACAAGCUGUCAGUUUGUGAUCACUGUUGAAGUAACUGACACAUCAAUACUUUGAAAAUAUAAGUGUCUGAUUGAAAGAUAAUACUAUAUAGAUUGCAGAUAUAUUUCACAUAGAUAUCUUUUUUCCAAACUAUAAGGCAUUCCAAUUUGAUGGUAAAAAUAUCCAUAUUUCCUUUUUGAAGCAAGUAGAAUAUAAAAUAUUUCACUCCAUUACAAAAAAAGUCAGAACUCACUUCUGACUUACAAAGCAAAGUGCAGGUAUGAUGUGUCUAUCUAGAUACAGGAAGGACUUUUGUUAAUUACUGUGAGUAAGGGAUCAUUGUUAACGGCAGAUUAACUUUGAUUCCUUAAGGGAGAAAAAAAUAUCUUUUCUUCACUCAUCUUAUGUUCAAGGUUGAGGUUCCUAUAACAAAAGACAGAGUAACAAAAUAAAAACAUACAUAUUUAUUAUAAAUUCUACCUGAUUUGAGAAUCUUUGUAAGUAAAAACAGUGCUAAAGAUAUAGCUUAAGUUGUAUCUCUUUAUAUCUAGGUUUGAUAUCAAAAUAGAUAGUCAUGUAAAAAUAAGAUUGGACAAAGGAAUAUGGUCACAGGGUAAUAUACUAGGGGAAAUUUAACUGGACCUGUUCAAAUUAUUCUCUGUAACCCUAAGACUUAAGAGAUAAUGAUGUUCCUUUCCUGUAAGUAUGGGGAGGGCACUUCUCACAAGAGACUCUUUGACAUGCCUUUCGAUAAAGUCAGAAAAUUCUUCCUAGAUUGUAUGGCUUAUUUUCAGGGAGAAGCACAGCAGAUGACCUUCCUACUUCUGUUAUUCUUCUCAAAUGCUGAGGUGCCACAUUUCCAAGAAGCAUUUCCUCUACCUCAUCAACGCCUAUGUGAGAGAAAGAAUCUUGGUAAUGUGACCUUUCUUUGGAGACCUGGACUCUCAUUCCCUCACUGAACCUGAAUAUCCAAUAAAGGAAAGAUAGGCAUGAGAACAGAGAGGAGCCUUGGGACAAUGAAGAAAAGUAUUGGGAUGUUCUACAAUUGUGGAUUUACUGAAAAGAAAAAGACAUUUUCAUAAUCCAAUCUAGUAUCUUUUGGAGUAUACGAAUGUGACACUAGAUAAAUUGAUUUGUUUGGCCUAAACCUACCUCUAUACCUAUUUUUAAAUUGGUCCAAAGCUUUCUCUGUACUAGUGACUGCAACUUAAAUUAAUGGAGGAGAGAUUGAAACCUAACCGCAAAUAUCUCCUGCAGGAAGAAACUGAGUCUUAACCAAUCAUAGCAACUGACCCUCUGGCAAAUCAGUGGGUGAAAACUGGCAAAACAUGACAUAUCAGGCAAAACCACAUGCAGUCAAUGAGGUGGUUUCUGUAUGUGGCUUACUUUUUCUGGCUAUAAAUGUAGCCUGCACAUGUGGUAGAGGGAAGUAUUCUAUCUCAAUUUUGGUAAAGUUUGUGG